UACGUAGGGUGCAAGCGUUAAUCGGAAUUAUUGGGCGUAAAGCGCGCGCAGGCGGUCCUUUAAGUCUGAUGUGAAAGCCCACGGCUCAACCGUGGAGGGUCAUUGGAAACUGGGGGGACUUGAGUGCAGAAGAGGAAAGCGGAAUUCCACGUGUAGCGGUGAAAUGCGUAGAGAUGUGGAGGAACACCAGUGGCGAAGGCGGCUUUCUGGUCUGUAACUGACGCUGAGGCGCGAAAGCGUGGGGGAGCAAACAGG
rnacentral:rRNA from 1 species